UACGAGGGAUGCAAGCGUUAUCCGGAAUUAUUGGGCGUAAAGCGUUUGUAGGCGGGCGAGUGUGUUUAAUGUUAAAUCUUAAAGCUCAACUUUGAAAUUGCGUUAAAAACUGCUUGUCUUGAGUAUGGUAGGGGUAAAGGGAAUUCCCAGUGUAGCGGUGAAAUGCGUAGAUAUUGGGAAGAACACUAAACAGCGAAGGCACUUUACUAGGCUAAUACUGACGCUGAGAAACGAAAGGUAAGGUAGCGAAACGGAUUAGAUACCCGUGUAGUCUUACCCGUAAACUAUGGACACUAAACGGUAAAUUUUUAAUUUACUGUUAAAGCUAACGCGUUAAGUGUCCCGCCUGGGGAGUAUGCUUGCAAAAGUGAAACUCAAAGGAAUUGACGGGGGCCCGCACAAGCGGUGGAGCAUGUGGUUUAAUUCGACGGUACACGAAGAACCUUACCAGGAUUUGACAUGCUAGAUAGUUGCUUGAAAGAGUAACGUGCCGUAAGGAAUCUAGACACAGGCGGUGCAUGGCUGUCGUCAGUUCGUGUUGUGAAAUGUUGGGUUAAGUCCCGCAACGAACGCAACCCUUGUCUUUAGUUAUUUUCUAAAGAGACUGCCUGUAAUAAACAGGAGGAAGGUAAGGAUGAGGUCAAGUCAUCAUGCCCCUUAUGUCCUGGGCUACACACGUGCUACAAUGGGAAAGACAAUGAGCUGCAAAUCUGUAAAUUUAAGCAAAUCUCUUAAACUUUCUCGUAGUUCGGAUUGUGGGCUGCAACUCGCCCACAUGAAGUUGGAAUCGCUAGUAAUCGCCAGUCAGCUAUAUGGCGGUGAAUCCGUUCCCGGGCCU
rnacentral:rRNA from 1 species